AAUCUGUGUUCCGGGCACUUUCUCAGGGGCUCCUUGAACCUUUUCCAUGUCUCAAAUUGAGACUCCAAUUUUGACUGUACAAAGGACCAGAUCUCAUUCCUAUGCUU